GACGCCUGGCAGCACUCUGGUUUUGUUUUCUGGCCGCAGUAUUUUAACUGUGCACAGGUAGCAUGAUCAUUUGCUUCUUAAUUAGGGGCUAGUAUGAAUGGUUGGAUGAGAGAUUAACUUUCUUUAAUUUAUUUUAAUUAACUUUAUUUUUUAGUUAAAAAGCUAAAAUAUAUUUAUUAGACGAGAAGACCCUAUAGAACUUUAUAUGCAUAGUUAUUAUUUAAUAUUUAGUUAAUUUUUUUAUAACUAUUAUGUUUAUUUUGUUGGGGUGACGGGUAAAUUUUAUUAACUUUAUUAAUUUAAUUUCAUUUAUUUAUGAUUAUUUUGAUCCAUUAUUUAUGAUUAUUAGUUUAAGUUACCUUAGGGAUAACAGCGUAAUUUUAUUGGAGAGUUCUUAUUUAUAAUAAAGUUUGCGACCUCGAUGUUGGAUUAAAAUUAGUUUUCGGUGUAGCAGCUGAAAUUUUAGGUCUGUUCGACCUUUAAAUUUUUACAUGAUCUGAGUUCAACCGGA
rnacentral:rRNA from 1 species